rnacentral:rRNA from 1 species
UUGAACCUGAGAGUUUGAUCCUGGCUCAGAACGAACGCUGGCGGCAUGCCUAACACAUGCAAGUCGAACGAAGGCUUCGGCCUUAGUGGCGCACGGGUGAGUAACGCGUGGGAACCUGCCCUUUGGUUCGGAAUAACUCCGGGAAACUGGAGCUAAUACCGGAUGAGCCUGAUGGUUGUGGAGACUGUCAGGGAAAGAUUUAUCGCCGAAGGAGGGGCCCGCGUCCGAUUAGGUAGUUGGUGAGGUAACGGCUCACCAAGCCGACGAUCGGUAGCUGGUCUGAGA